rnacentral:rRNA from 1 species
UACCUAGGUGGCAAGCGUUGUCCGGAUUUACUGGGUGUAAAGGGCGUGUAGCCGGGCUGACAAGUCAGAUGUGAAAUUCCGGGGCUCAACCCCGGACCUGCAUUUGAAACUGUUGGUCUUGAGUAUCGGAGAGGCAGGCGGAAUUCCUAGUGUAGCGGUGAAAUGCGUAGAUAUUAGGAGGAACACCAGUGGCGAAAGCGGCCUGCUGGACCGAAACUGACGUUGAGGCUCGAAAGCGUGGGGAGCAAACAGG